rnacentral:rRNA from 1 species
UACGAAGGGGGCUAGCGUUGCUCGGAAUCACUGGGCGUAAAGGGUGCGUAGGCGGGUCUUUAAGUCAGGGGUGAAAUCCUGGAGCUCAACUCCAGAACUGCCUUUGAUACUGAGGAUCUUGAGUUCGGGAGAGGUGAGUGGAACUGCGAGUGUAGAGGUGAAAUUCGUAGAUAUUCGCAAGAACACCAGUGGCGAAGGCGGCUCACUGGCCCGGUACUGACGCUGAGG